ACACAAGGUACCUAACUCUGACCCCUACCCAUAACCCUCCGCCAGCACGCCCUCACACACAAGGUACCUAACUCUGACCCCUACCCAUAACCCUCCGCCAGCACGCCCUCACACACAAGGUACCUAACUCUGACCCCUAACCAUAACCCUCCGCCAGCACGCCCUCACACACAAGGUACCUAACUCUGACCUCUGACCAUAAGCCUCCGCCAG